AUAACAAUUUCACACAGGAAACAGCUAUGACCAUGAUUACGCCAAGCUAUUUAGGUGAGACUAUAGAAUACUCAAGCUUGCAUGCCUGCAGGUCGACUCUAGAGGAUCCCACCAGGAAACAGCCUAGGAACACAGUGAAAGAGGCCCUGGCUGAUGCCCGACCUACCGUUCCUCAUCAACAGGUAAUGGAUGAGGCACAAGCGUUGAUCGACAGAAAGCGUCGCCGUGCCUGAACUGGAAUGGCUGGAACUGGCUCGUACCGAUCUGCUAGGGAUUGUCGAUUACAUCUCUGAUGACAAUCCCGAUGCAGCACAGCGCGUAAAAGAUGAUAUCGAGAUGAAAGCUGAAAAGCUGCCGGAGUUCCCCAAAUAAGCCGCCAACCGAGUUAACACCUGAAUCAAGUUCUUCGCCGGCUAGGCCGAGGAGAAAGCCCUUGAAACCGAGGCCGCCACGGGGGUUAGAAUGGCGUCAUGCCCGGCGCAAAUCGCUGUCUGAUAAGCGUGCCCCGGCAGAGGAACAUCUUUGGCCAAGCGGUCAUUGUACGCGACACACAAAGGAAAAGGAGACACAGAUGCAGACGCGCAAGCUCGGUUCGCAGGGGCUCGAGGUUUCUGCCCUCGGCCUAGGCUGCAUGGGAAUGUCGGAAUUCUAUAGUGGUCGCGACGAGGCCGAGGCGGUCGCGACCAUCCACCGCGCGCUUGAUCUUGGCGUCACAUUCCUCGAUACCGCCGACAUGUAUGGCCCAUUCACCAACGAAGUUCUGAUCGGCAAGGCAAUCGCCGACCGCCGCGACAAGGUCGUGCUGGCGACCAAGUUCGGGAACGUCCGCGGCAAGAACGGCGAAUUUCUCGGCAUUCGCGGCGACGCGGAAUAUGUGCGCCAGGCUUGCGAUGCAUCGCUGAAGCGGCUCGGGGUGGACCAUAUCGACCUCUAUUACCAGCACCGGGUGGACCCGAACACGCCGAUCGAGGAAACGGUGGGCGCCAUGGCCGAGCUCGUCAAGGCCGGCAAGGUCCGCUACCUCGGCCUGUCGGAGGCCGCGCCGGAAACCAUCCGGCGCGCGCACGCCGUCCACCCGAUCACCGCGCUCCAGACCGAAUAUUCGCUCUGGAGCCGCGAGCCGGAGAACGAGAUCCUGCCGACAGUACGCGAGCUGGGCAUCGGCUAUGUCCCCUACAGCCCGCUCGGACGCGGCUUCCUCACCGGGCAGAUCCGCCGCAUUGAGGAUCUCGCCGAGGACGACUACCGCCGCAGCUCGCCGCGCUUCCAGGGCGAGAACUUCCAGAAGAACCUCGAUCUGGUGCAGGAGAUCGAGACGAUGGCGCAGGAGAAGGGCUGCAGGCCGUCCCAGCUCGCGCUGGCUUGGCUGCUAGCGCAGGGCGAGGACAUCGUGCCCAUCCCCGGCACCAAGAAGCGCAGCCGACUGGAGGAGAAUGUGGGGGCGCUCGACGUGCGGAUCACGGCCGAGGAUCUUGCCCGGAUCGACAGCAUUCUGCCGUCCGGCGCGGCCGCCAGGCGCGCGCUAUGCCGCACCCCAGAUGCAGGCGCUGAACCGAUGAGCGGCGAGCGACUCGAGGGCCAGGUCGCGAUCGUCACCGGCGGUGCCCGCGGGUUGGGCCGCGCGAUGGUGCUGGGCCUUGCGGCGGCGGGGGCGCCGGGUCAUCACGACCGCAUCGCGCGAGGCGA
rnacentral:rRNA from 1 species